GGGCCUAUGGCGCAACGGCAGCGCAUCGUAAGUUCUACUUUGAACCAGCUUGUUUAGCAACAUUUAACUAACAGUAUAACAGCGACUCCAGAUCGGGAGGUUAUCCGUUCAAAUCGGGUUGGGCUCA